CCUACGGGAGGCAGCAGUGAGGAAUAUUGGUCAAUGGGCGCGAGGCUGAACCAGCCAAGCCGCGUGAGGGAAGACGGUGCUAUGGAUUGUACACCUCUUUUGUCGCGGGGCAAAAUACGCCUCGCGUGGCUUACCGAGAGUACUUGAAGCAAAAGCCUCGGCUCACUCCGUGCCAGCAGCCGCGGUCAUACGGAGGAUGCGAUCGUUAUCCGGCUUUAUUGGGUUUACAGGGUGCGCAGGCGGACGAUUAAGGCAGCGGUAAAAGUGAGGGGCUCAACCCCUUCGAGCCGUUGAAACUGGUUUUCUUGAGAUGUCGAGAAGUAUGCGGAAUGCGUGGUGUAGCGGUGAAAUGCUUAGAUAUCGCGCAGAACUCCGAUUGCGAAGGCAGCAUACCGGCGGUCAACUGACGCUCAUGCACGAAAGUGUGGGUAUCGAACAGGAUUAGAUACCCGAGUAGUC
rnacentral:rRNA from 1 species